GUUGCAUUGUGUAAUAGCCACAUAGAGAUGCAUUAGUCAGCCAAGUACAAAGAAAAUUGCAUGCUCGGCAACAUGGCGUAGCGGCCGGAUCAGCAGCACAGAGAUAGAGCGAGUGCACGCGAGCAGAUCGGCAAGCCAGGAGAUGAGUGGCUGUAGUCAUGUACGUGUGUACUAGGUGACCAAGUGAUUAGUGCAUGUGAAGAGAUGUGACCUGCAUGCACAUGUAUUAGUGUGGUCAAGUGUUUGUUAGUGGUAGACUACAUGCAUGGAGGUAAACGGCCGAGCUGUGUGGCCGUUGCGUGACGUUCGGCUAGUUAGUGCUGAACGUGCAUGCAUGAAGGUAGGUAGUGUGGAGUCAAAAAUGGAUCAAGCCAUUUGUGUGUGGCUUGGCCGACGUGUGUGCAUGUGGUGGUUAGUGGGUGCGUGAUAGUCGUGUGAGUCCGGCUAUUAAAGCCCAUGUAUUUGCAUCAUUGUGUGAGAUGAGUUGUCAAGAAGAUAAUGAGAAAAGGCACUAUGUGCGUGUGCCAAAGUGUGUGUAUCUUCUUCUUCCUUGCGUUCAUGUGCGUGUUUGUUCCUUCUUUCCUGGGGCAAGGCCAACAUUUGGUAUUCAGAGCCAUGGCCGGAGAACGAUCGCGCACUCCAUCAUGCUCGUCGGGUCGCCGAAGGGGCUCAACCUCGCCCAUACGGCGUGGGCGGUAUUCGACGCGGCGCGGCUGCCCUGAGGCCCUAGUGUGUGGAGGUCCGGUUCUCCAUCGAGGUCAAGCUGCAUCAUGAUCGAAGGAGGACAUGCUGCCCGGUAAGUUGUGCCACCGGCGGCAAGGAGUUCGCCAUCCAUGCCGGAGUCGUCGACAAGGUGUGUCGCCGGCGACCAUGAUGUUGUGAAGGCGUUGGAGGUGCGCCUCUCAUUGAAGCCAACGGCGACGGCGGCAAUCGGCGUGACAAGACGGCAUCGGCGGCCGUCUACGUGUUGCGCCGACGACAUCAACGACCAUGGGCUUCAAGAGAGAAAUACACCAUAACAAGAUUAGGGAGGUGAUUGUUGGAACUAAUCUUGUUAUCAGUAUUAAGCAUUUAAGAUUAGGUCAUUUUUAAUUUGUUGCAUUGUGUAAUAGCCACAUAGAGAUGCAUUAGUCAGCCAAGUACAAAGAAAAUUGCAUGCUCGGCAACAUGGCGUAGCGGCCGGAUCAGCAGCACAGAGAUAGAGCGAGUGCACGCAAGCAGAUCGGCAAGCCAGGAGAUGAGUGGCCGUAGUCAUGUACGUGUGUACUAGGUGACCAAGUGAUCAGUGCAUGUGAAGAGAUGUGACCUGCAUGCACAUGUAUUAGUGUGGUCAAGUGUUUGUUAUUGGCAGACUACAUGCAUGGAGGUAAACGGCCGAGCUGUGCGGCCGUUGUGCGACGUUCGGCUAGUUAGUGUUGAACGUGCAUGCAUGAAGGUAGGUAGUGUGGAGUCAAAAACGGAUCAAGCCAUUUGUGUGUGGCUUGGCCGGCGUGUGUGCAUGUGGUGGUUAGUGGGUGCGUGAUAGUCGUGUGAGUCUGGCUAUUAAAGCCCAUGUAUUUGCAUCAUUGUGUGAGAUGAGUUGUGAAGAAGAUAAUGAGAAAAGGCACUAUGUGUGUGUGCCAAAGUGUG
rnacentral:lncRNA from 1 species